rnacentral:lncRNA from 1 species
GGGAGAAGCUGUGAGCUGUGGCGGUCAGAGGUUCAACGUGUUCCUUGUCAAAGUGAUGCUGCAGCUAAGGAACACUGGAGGGCAGCAGCAGCCUGCAAGAAAACAUCUGCAGCUCCACAACACAACAAAGAUCAGGUGUUCUACCCUAUAAAAUAGCAACCUGUAAAAUAAAGCACCACAAGGCACAGAAAAACAGAACAAUUACACAUCUGUACAAGACAACUACAAUCAAGCUCUUCAACAUGGAUCUGCGCUUCACAAUUGCUGUCUGGAUGUUUGUCGUCAUUGGGUAUCUUCAAGCUAGACCUCUUGAUGUGUCUGCCAAAAAACGUAUCUGUCUUCUGGCAGAGGAAGUCAAAUGUGAUGAUAAGGUGAAUUUCACAACUCCAACAAAUGUGAAGGAACACUGCCAUGGAGCGGCUCUGGAGACCAUCAUCGGAGAACUGAAGCAUGCCCAAACAGAAUGUGAUCUUAGCAAUACCAAUGCCAAUACCCGAUUGAAUCAAGUGCUGGAGAUUUUGACUAAAGCAGAACUGCAAGUGACAAACUCUACGGACUGCAAGUGGGAGGGAUCUCACAAGAAUUUUAAAGUCUUCAUGGAGGAUGUCGUACAUCUGAUAACAAGCAUUAUCGCUCACAAUGUUACCUCACAGAGACCCUUGUUUAAUAUUACACACAACACAAAAAUAUGAGCUUGUCUCUAAGAAUUAAGAAACACUGUGAAAAGUUCUCAUGUUAUUUAAUUUAAAUAUUUAUCUUAUUUAUAAUGCAACUAAUGUAUUUUUUUGAAAAUAAAAUGUGAACAACUGCAACUAAAUACA